GUGUAAUAAUUAGGUUUAUGGUAGAUUUUGCAAAGAUUUACAGGAUUCAUUUGUAAUCCACACCCUAAGUU
rnacentral:tRNA from 1 species